rnacentral:other from 1 species
GACACCCUGCAGUGUUCGAGGUGCUUUCAAUAACUGCUCUUUGCCUUAGAUACAUUACGGGAGCUGAACCCCCGCGGAAGAUGCCAGGCCGUAAAUCGGAAGGCUGAAGCUGCGGGGAGGCGCCCACCUAAAUCUAAAAAGGUUUGAGCCUUUGGGCAUACGGCACAGGCGGAGUGUCA